rnacentral:rRNA from 1 species
AAACUGAAGGGUUUGAUCCUGGCUCAGAACGAACGCUGGCGGCGUGGCUAAGACAUGCAAGUCGAACGGACUUGUUAAUUUAUUAGCAAGUCAGUGGCGAAAGGGUGAGUAAUGGAU